UCACAGCCACUAUUCCGGAAAAAUUGCUGAGUCUCUCAUUGUUGCGUAUUUAAUUAUGAAAUAGAUCAAUUGGACUAUCAACGCUGUACCUUUCCGUGUAUAGUCUAUCGAGCAGUAUAAACGAGUCAUUGUCUGUAUGAAAUUUUAGCUUGUACUGACUUAGUGCUUUUUAUGUGGCCUGUCGUAACACGAGGCAAAUCUCUCGAUGAGUUGAUGUGCCCCGUGGAAGACCUCUGCUUACCCCCAGGGGUACACGAACCGGUGGGUGAGAACCACGGUUCUAAGGCAGCUCCAGCCCUGGUGCCAUGGGGGAGACGUGUCCUCGCGGCCCUGCCUGACAGGUCUUUCUGUUUCAGAUCCUUGUCCUAACUGCAGGAAAUGUAACUACAAGACAUGUACAAUUGUGCUCGCAGUCGCCCUCGCAACCAUGUUCUUAGUUCUCAUCAUUGUCCUGGCAGUGUGGAGACCUAAGCUUCCGUCAGCUGAACCGGGGCCCGUUGCUGGAUCGGAUACCGAGGGAAAUGCUACUAUUUCUCUGAGGCCGAAAGGAACUGGACCUACAGCCUGACCUACUGCUCUGCGCUCAGCGCCUCCCUGGCUGAGAUCAACAGUGAGCAGGAAAUGGCUUUCGUGCUGUGCUAUAAAGGCAGAUUUGACCACUGGAUUGGCCUCCGGAGGGACCCUGGGCAGCUCUGGAAAUGGGCCAAUGGCACCAAAUUCAACAACCUGUUUCCAAUAGGAGAAGGAGGAACUGCGCGUAUCUGAACGGUGUGAGUGCGGUCAGCAGCUUGCAAUGCACCAGUGAGAGACACUGGAUCUGCACCAAACCCGAUGCAUUUACACAGGCACAGGAGGCUGCAGUGGAAGGGGGCUGGUAACAAGAGU